rnacentral:rRNA from 1 species
CCCUUAGAUGUUCUGGGCCGCACGCGCGCUACACUGAUGCAUUCAACGAGUCUAAAACCUGGUCUGAUAGGGCUGGGUAAUCUUUUGAAUGUGCAUCGUGAUUGGGAUAGAUGAUUGCAAUUCUUCAUCUUCAACGAGGAAUGCCUAGUAAACGCAAGUCAUCAGCUUGCAUUGAUUACGUCCCUGCCCUUUGUACACACCGCCCGUCGCUCCUACCGAUUGAAUGUUCCGAUGAAUACCAUGGACUGAGAGUAUGAAUGGGUUCGCCUAUUUCUGUUUCUCGGGAAGUGGAGUAAAUCUUAACAUUUAGAGGAAGGAGAAGUCGUAACA